UUAGAAAUAAUUUUUCUCCAGGCUUAUCAAUAUUGGGAACAAAAAUAUGGAAAAGAAAAACUUCUUCCUGGACUUGAAAAAUUUGAUUCAAAGAAAUUAUUCUUUUUAUCUUUUGCAAAUACCUGGUGCGCUGUUUAUUCUACUGAAAGUCUUCAAAACCAAAAUAGGUUUGAUGUACAUUCCUUACCAAAAUACAGAGUUAUUGGCACACUUUCAAAUAUGGAAGAAUUUUCUGCAGCAUUUAACUGCAAAAAAGGCUCUAAAAUGAACCCAGAAAAUAAAUGUAUAAUUUGGUGAAAUGAUUUUUAAGAGUUUUGUUAGACUAUAUGGGAUUGUGAAUGCAAAUAAGCUAUUUGCAUUUGGAUUUGAAGAAUCAGAUGGAAAAAUAUACAGCGUGAGUUAAAAGCCCUAACACCAUUUUCUUUCCAAAAGUACUGAAAAUGUAUUUUUUUUGUUGACCUUAAAAGUGCUUUUACAAGUAAAAAAUAAAAGGUCCCAUCCAAUUCUCCAUAAUGACUUCUGAUGUAGUUACAUUUUAACAAAAUUAAAAGUCAUAUUCAAUUCUCCAUAAAUGAUGUCUGAUGUAACUACACCAACAAAAUUAAUGUAUCUUCAGUACUUUUGAAAUGUGAAAGGUAUAAGGGACUUUUGACUUGCCUUUAUAAAAUUUACUAUAUUUUUAAAAAGGAUAUUAAAAGAUGUUUAAUAUAUAAUAAAUGAUAGUAUUUAUUGUAAAUUUUAUAAGAAUAAAUUUUAUUGUGUUAUAUGACUUGUUUUAAAAUACUUAAACAUUUCCAUCAUGAAAUUAAGUAUGCUGAAUAUAUUUGUUUAAUUAAUAUUAAUCAUAA